CUCACCAUGGCAUGGAACUGGAUCAUCCUCUUCCUCCUGUCAGUAACUACAGGUGUCCACUCCCAGGUCCAGCUGCAGCAGUCUGGGGCUGAGCUGCUGAAACCUGGGGUCUCAGUGAAGUUGUCCUGCAAGGCUUCUGGCUACACCUUCACUAGCUAUGGUAUACACUGGAUGAAGCAGAGGUCUGGACAGGGCCUGGAGUGGAUUGGAUAUGUUAAUACUGGACAUGGUGGUACUGCCUACAUUCAGAAGUUAAAGGACAGGGUCAAACUGACUGCAGACAAAUCCUCCAGCACAGCCUACAUGGAGCUCAGAAGCCUGACAUUUGAGGACUCUGGGGUCUAUUAUUGUGCAAGAGACACAGUGUUGCAACCACAUCCUGAGUCAAGUUUUAGUUUUUAUUAUUUUUGUAAAUUGCAUGUUCCCUCCACAUUUGAAACACAGGAGACCACAAGGACAAGCCAGAAUCUGAGCCUGAUAUUCCUCUGUGCCAUCAUUUUGAGAUGCUUUUAA